UUUCUUGUGACCCUGUUUGUAGAGCAUUGUGCUAGCAACGUAAAGGUUGUGGGUUCAAACCCCAAGAGAAAA